rnacentral:misc_RNA from 1 species
AAGUCGUAACAAGGUUUCUGUGGAACGCCACUUACUGAAGCCUUGACUCCAGUCUAUUUUAUAGGCAACACCUUUACUGUGCUUGGAUACCCCUAGGUAACAAGCAGCUGCGUUAUUGCAGUUCACAGAUCAAACAGAGGUGGUCUAUGGCCCUACUACCGCCUGUAGUGUGUAUGCCCUAGAUUUAGAUAUGAUCGGCCUAUCUUUGAAACAAAUGAUAGAGCAUGUGUUCCGUAGGUGAACCUGCGGAAGGAUCAUUACUGAGAACAUGCCCUCUGGGCAUCUCUCCCACCCUUUGUU